rnacentral:sRNA from 1 species
UAUGCCGUUCAUCUAUGCCUUUUUCUU